UGGAUAGCAUGGAUCGCGUAAAAGCAUUAGAGGAGCUUGAUGGACACAAAAUCAAGAAGUACAAUGUGUGGAAGGUCCAUCUAAGUGAAGAGAAAGAAGAAAGAGGCCAUUUGUGCAAAUGGUCAUCUCAUAAUUUCAAGAAUUCACAAAAGAAGACAACCAAACAAGGCCCUUACCUCAUUAAGGGUAAAUUGUCAAAGAAGUGUCUUCUUUACUUUAUUUUCAAGAAUACACAAAAGAAGUCAACAAAACAAGGUCCUUACCUCAUUAAGGGUAAAAUUGUCAAAUAAGUGUCUUCUUUAUUUUAUUUGUAUAAAUAGUAGUCUCUUUUAUUUUGGAAGAUUUAGACUAUAUGGAUUUUGAAUGUGAAAUGAACAAACUCUUUCAAGAGUGUAGUUUAAGGGUGGAAUCCCUUCAGGAUAGUCUAGCUUAGUGUAGCUUAAUCUAGAUUAGUGAUGGGUGGAUUCUCAUUGUUGAUUUAGGACUUCUUUAACCUUGAUUUCACUUGAGAUUGCUCAUUUGUGGUUUUCAAUUUGAGUUGUUUCUUUUCGAAUUCAA
rnacentral:lncRNA from 1 species